rnacentral:rRNA from 1 species
GAUGAACGCUGGCGGCGUGCCUAAUACAUGCAAGUCGAGCGAACAGAUAAGGAGCUUGCUCCUUUGACGUUAGCGGCGGACGGGUGAGUAACACGUGGAUAACCUACCUAUAAGACUGGGAUAACUUCGGGAAACCGGAGCUAAUACCGGAUAACAUAUUGAACCGCAUGGUUCAAUAGUGAAAGGCGGCUUUGCUGUCACUUAUAGAUGGAUCCGCGCCGUAUUAGCUAGUUGGUAAGGUAACGGCUUACCAAGGCAACGAUACGUAGCCGACCUGAGAGGGUGAUCGGCCACGCUGGAACUGAGCCGCGGUCCAGACUCCUACGGGAGGCAGCAGUAGGGAAUCUUCCGCAAUGGGCGAAAGCCUGACGGAGCAACGCCGCGUGAGUGAUGAAGGUCUUCGGAUCGUAAAACUCUGUUAUCAGGGAAGAACAAAUGUGUAAGUAACUGUGCACAUCUUGACGGUACCUGAUCAGAAAGCCACGGCUAACUACGU